UGGGGAAUUUUGGACAAUGGGCGCAAGCCUGAUCCAGCCAUGCCGCGUGCAGGAUGAAGGCCUUCGGGUUGUAAACUGCUUUUGUACGGAACGAAAAGGUGCCUUCUAAUAAAGGGCGCUCAUGACGGUACCGUAAGAAUAAGCACCGGCUAACUACGUGCCAGCAGCCGCGGUAAUACGUAGGGUGCGAGCGUUAAUCGGAAUUACUGGGCGUAAAGCGUGCGCAGGCGGUUUUGUAAGACAGAGGUGAAAUCCCCGGGCUCAACCUGGGAACUGCCUUUGUGACUGCAAGGCUGGAGUGCGGCAGAGGGGGAUGGAAUUCCGCAUGUAGCAGUGAAAUGCGUAGAUAUGCGGAGGAACACCGAUGGCGAAGGCAAUCCCCUGGGCCUGCACUGACGCUCAUGCACGAAAGCGUGGGGAGCAAACA
rnacentral:rRNA from 1 species